rfam:Turneriella parva DSM 21527, complete genome.
GGGGGUUUAGCUCAGUUGGGAGAGCGUCACAAUGGCAUUGUGAAGGUCAGGGGUUCAACUCCCCUAACCUCCA